GUUGAUUUUUGCAAUGUGGUAAAUAUUUGUAUCUGCAUCUCGAUAAGUAAGUACAAUAUAUCCACCUAUCAAUUUUUUAAACUAGUUGCUCAGCCAAAAUAUGUCAGAAUCUUUGAAAGCCAAGAGUAAAAAAUACACUAAGCAUUUUAGAUCAUCUAUUUGGACUGGUUUUAUUUAAAAAUGUAUUUCGAAUCUUUUUUACAUAAAUUGAUUAUGGUAUAUCUGUGAGCUUCUAAGUAGCAGCCAGGAAUUGAUCCAUUGACGGAUUUUACUAUAUAGAAUGGAUUGCUGGCUGAACGAAAAUAAAACAUUACUGAGAUUUGGUCAGAGUCUGGAUGAGUUCUGUGAGUUGGCCAAUCGCGAUGCUCUCAGUAGGUUUCUCAAACUAUUCUCAAGCGUCACAAUGCGGCUCUUUAAGUGGAUCUUAGGCAAUUGUUGCAGCUAUAUUGAUCCCGAGAAUAUUCUGCAUGUUGACUGAAAAAUAAUCAGCUUGAAUAUGAUGUGACCACAUUAUGUAAAAUCUAGAUACAUACAUAAAUAUUUUUUAGAUAUAAAACUGAGCUGAAAGUAAUUAAAACUAA